rnacentral:rRNA from 1 species
UAGAGUUUGAUCCUGGCUCAGGAUGAACGCUAGCUACAGGCUUAACACAUGCAAGUCGAGGGGAAACGAUAGAGAAAGCUUGCUUUUUCUAGGCGUCGACCGGCGCACGGGUGAGUAACGCGUAUCCAACCUGCCCAUCACUUGGGGAUAACCUUGCGAAAGUAAGACUAAUACCCAAUGAUAUCUCUAGAAGACAUCUGAAAGAGAUUAAAGAUUUAUCGGUGAUGGAUGGGGAUGCGUCUGAUUAGCUUGUUGGCGGGGUAACGGCCCACCAAGGCGACGAUCAGUAGGGGUUCUGAGAGGAAGGUCCCCCACAUUGGAACUGAGACACGGUCCAAACUCCUACGGGAGGCAGCAGUGAGGAAUAUUGGCCAAUGGGCGAGAGCCUGAACCAGCCAAGUAGCGUGCAGGAAGACGGCCCUAUGGGUUGUAAACUGCUUUUAUAAGGGAAUAAAGUGGGAGUCGUGACUCCUUUUGCAUGUACCUUAUGAAUAAGGACCGGCUAAUUCCGUGCCAGCAGCCGCGGUAAUACGGAAGGUCCGGGCGUUAUCCGGAUUUAUUGGGUUUAAAGGGAGCGUAGGCCGGAGAUUAAGCGUGUUGUGAAAUGUAGACGCUCAACGUCUGCACUGCAGCGCGAACUGGUUUCCUUGAGUACGCACAAAGUGGGCGGAAUUCGUGGUGUAGCGGUGAAAUGCUUAGAUAUCACGAAGAACUCCGAUUGCGAAGGCAGCUCACUGGAGCGCAACUGACGCUGAAGCUCGAAAGUGCGGGUAUCGAACAGGAUUAGAUACCCUGGUAGUCCGCACGGUAAACGAUGGAUGCCCGCUGUUGGUCUGAAUAGGUCAGCGGCCAAGCGAAAGCAUUAAGCAUCCCACCUGGGGAGUACGCCGGCAACGGUGAAACUCAAAGGAAUUGACGG